rnacentral:rRNA from 1 species
UGGGGAAUAUUGCACAAUGGGCGCAAUCCUGAUGCAGCCAUGCCGCGUGUAUGAAGAAGGCCUUCGGGUUGUAAAGUACUUUCAGUCGGGAGGAAGGUGGUAAGGUUAAUAACCUUAUCAUUUGACGUUACCGACAGAAGAAGCACCGGCUAACUCUGUGCCAGCAGCCGCGGUAAUACGGAGGGUGCAAGCGUUAAUCGGAAUUACUGGGUGUAAAGCGCACGCAGGCGUUCUGUCAAGUCGGAUGUGAAAUCACCGAGCUCCACCUGGGAAAUGCAUUCGAAACUAGCAGGCUAGAGUCUUGUAGAGGGGGGUAGAAUACCAGGUGGAGCGGUGAAAUGCGUAGAGAUCAGGAGGAAUACCGGUGGCGAAGGCGGCCCCCUGGACAAAGACUGACGCUCAGGUGCGAAAGCGUGGGGAGCAAACAGG